UACGUUUUUGAUCGGGGAAGGACGAGAACCUUCGAUUAAGGUUCGACUCGAGCGUAGCGAGAGAGCGUUGCCGCAGGCAACGACCCGAAGGGCGAGGAGCUUUGCUCCGAGUAAUCCUUCCCCCACCACCA
rnacentral:sRNA from 1 species